AUACAAAUCUCCUGGGCAUCUUGUUGAAAUGCAGAUUCUGAUUCAGGAGGUCUGGGGUGCGGCCCAAGAUUGUGCAUUUCAAGCAAGCUACCAAGGGAUGCUGAU
rnacentral:pre_miRNA from 1 species